UACGUAGGGGGCAAGCGUUAUCCGGAAUUACUGGGUGUAAAGGGUGAGUAGGCGGCAUGGUAAGCCAGAUGUGAAAGCCUUGGGCUUAACCCGAGGAUUGCAUUUGGAACUAUCAAGCUAGAGUACAGGAGAGGAAAGCGGAAUUCCUAGUGUAGCGGUGAAAUGCGUAGAGAUAUGGAGGAACACCAGUGGCGAAGGCGGCUUCCUGGUCUGCAACUGACACUGAGGCGCGAAAGCGUGGGGAGCAAACAGG
rnacentral:rRNA from 1 species